UACGUAGGGUGCAAGCGUUGUCCGGAAUUAUUGGGCGUAAAGAGCUCGUAGGCGGUCUGUCGCGUCUGCUGUGAAAACUCAGGGCUUAACCCUGAGCUUGCAGUGGGUACGGGCAGACUAGAGUGCGGUAGGGGAGACUGGAAUUCCUGGUGUAGCGGUGAAAUGCGCAGAUAUCAGGAGGAACACCCGGUGGCGAAAGGCGGGGUCUCUGGGCCGUAACUGACG
rnacentral:rRNA from 1 species